rnacentral:misc_RNA from 1 species
GAGCAGGUCUGUCCGAGCGUCCGCCAAUCGACGAAAGCGUUGUCGUCCAAGAGACGACGGCAAGAGUGAGGAGCUGCAACGAGGCGUCCGCGCCGUGCGCUGCACUCCUUGAAGAGACGCGGCCGUGGACUGCGACGCGGCGGUCCGACGAGACGUCGUCGCGACAUCGUGAACGGUUGCGACGAUGCAUCCCGUGCGUACCCCGCGGCGGAGUCGGCGGCAAGAGACAUCAGGAAACGACCAUCUGGACCUCGGAUCAGGCCA